rnacentral:rRNA from 1 species
UACGUAGGGUGCAAGCGUUAUCCGGAAUUAUUGGGCGUAAAGAGCUCGUAGGCGGUUUGUCGCGUCUGCUGUGAAAACUGGGGGCUCAACCCCCAGCCUGCAGUGGGUACGGGCAGACUAGAGUGCGGUAGGGGAGAUUGGAAUCCUGGUGUGACGGUGGAAUGCGCAGAUAUCAGGAGGAACACCGAUGGCGGAAGGCCAG